rnacentral:rRNA from 1 species
UACGUAGGGUGCGAGCGUUGUCCGGAAUUAUUGGGCGUAAAGAGCUCGUAGGUGGCGGGUCACGUCGGGUGUGAAAGCCCGGGGCUUAAUUCCGGGUCUGCAUUCGAUACGGGUCUGCUGGGGUCCGGCAGGGGAGACUGGAAUUCCUGGUGUAGCGGUGAAAUGCGCAGAUAUCAGGAGGAACACCGGUGGCGAAGGCGGGUCUCUGGGCCGGUACCGACGCUGAGGAGCGAAAGCGUGGGGAGCGAACAGG